ensembl:lncRNA
GUUAUUUUGAAAAGAAUGCUUUUGUGUUUCUUACAUUCUUCAACCUUUUUACACAUGACUCUUUUCUCACACACAAACACAUUUCAACAAUUCGUGCAAAGCCGAUUUCUCAAGCUUUUCUGCCAGGCACCGCUAACUCAAUUGAGGGCUCUCCUCAACACAGGCACAGUUCAUCCAUGAUCCAGCCCCAUCAGUAACUCUUCAUUCAAGAAAUAUCCAGCCGGAAGAGAUUCUCUACAAGCAGUAAGACUGAGGCACUGGAAAAAAAAAGGAAACGCAGACGUCAAGAAUCAUUCUGUUGCUGCUAACAACAAAAUGUGCCAGGCGUUGAAGCAAUCCGGCCGGGAAGCAGCCAGCAGGGUUAAUGAUGAGCAGGGGGACAGAUGGUUUUGGUUGUCAACAGGAAUGAUGGCGCCCAGCCUGGUCUCUGUCAUUGAAGUGAGACAGACGGACAGACGGACAAAUGGGACGGCAGCACUUGUUCUAUGUGGUCGCAGGCUGAUGGUGACAUUUAGCUGGAUUACUUUUUUUGUGAAAAUCAACCUAUUCCUUUUUAUUACUGGUCAACAAGUAAUCGAGUGUAGCUAUUAUAUUAAUAUUUGAAUGGACUGCUGAUGAAUAGAGAAACAUUUCAUGUUUAGGCAAUAUCUUU